GGCCUGAUGGUCUAGUAGUAUGAUUCCUUGUUAGGGUCACCCAUAGCUGUGUUUAAUUCGAGGAGGUCCCGGGUUCAAUUCCCGGUCAGGCCC